GACGAACGCUGGCGGCGUGCUUAACACAUGCAAGUCGAGCGGUAAGGCCCUUUCGGGGGUACACGAGCGGCGAACGGGUGAGUAACACGUGGGUGACCUGCCCUCAGCUCUGGGAUAAGCCUGGGAAACUGGGUCUAAUACCGGAUAUGACUCCAUGACGCAUGUUGUGGGGUGGAAAGCCUUGUGCGGCUGAGGACGGGCCCGCGGCCUAUCAGCUUGUUGGUGGGGUGAUGGCCUACCAAGGCGACGACGGGUAGCCGGCCUGAGAGGGCGACCGGCCACACUGGGACUGAGACACGGCCCAGACUCCUACGGGAGGCAGCAGUGGGGAAUCUUGCGCAAUGGGCGAAAGCCUGACGCAGCGACGCCGCGUGAGGGAUGACGGCCUGG
rnacentral:rRNA from 1 species